GACGAACGCUGGCGGCGUGCUUAACACAUGCAAGUCGAACGGUGAAGCUCCAGCUUGCUGGAGUGGAUCAGUGGCGAACGGGUGAGUAACACGUGAGCAACCUGCCCCUGACUCUGGAAUAAGCGCUGGAAACGGCGUCUAAUACUGGAUACGAGGAGGGUCCGCAUGGGCACUUUCUGGAAAGUUUUUCGGUUGGGGAUGGGCUCGCGGCCUAUCAGCUUGUUGGUGAGGUAAUGGCUCACCAAGGCGACGACGGGUAGCCGGCCUGAGAGGGCGACCGGCCACACUGGGACUGAGACACGGCCCAGACUCCUACGGGAGGCAGCAGUGGGGAAUAUUGCACAAUGGGCGAAAGCCUGAUGCAGCGACGCCGCGUGAGGGAUGACGGCCUUCGGGUUGUAAACCUCUUUCAGCAGGGAAGAAGCGAAAGUGACGGUACCUGCAGAAGAAGCACCGGCUAACUACGUG
rnacentral:rRNA from 1 species